rnacentral:rRNA from 1 species
AAUAGAUACCCAGGUAGUCCACGCCGUAAACGAUGAGUGCUAAGUGUUAGAGGGUUUCCGGCCCUUUAGUGCUGCAGCUAACGCAUUAAGCACUCCGCCUGGGGAGUACGGCCGCAAGGCUAAAACUCAAAGGGAAUUGACGGGGGCCCGCACAAGCGGUGGAGCAUGUGGUUUAAUUCGAAGCAACGCGAAGAACCUUACCAGGUCUUGACAUCCUCUGCCAACCCUAGAGAUAGGGCGUUCCCCUUCGGGGGACAGAGUGACAGGUGGUGCAUGGUUGUCGUCAGCUCGUGUCGUGAGAUGUUGGGUUAAGUCCCGCAACGAGCGCAACCCUUGAUCUUAGUUGCCAGCAUUCAGUUGGGCACUCUAAGGUGACUGCCGGUGACAAACCGGAGGAAGGUGGGGAUGACGUCAAAUCAUCAUGCCCCUUAUGACCUGGGCUACACACGUGCUACAAUGGAUGGUACAAAGAGCUGCGAACCCGCGAGGGUAAGCCAAUCUCAUAAAGCCAUUCUCAGUUCGGA